ensembl:lincRNA Gm43634 predicted gene 43634
AUCCUGAUAGCCAGUCAGAGGAGGAGGAAGACGUAUUCAGCGCCCCUAGGAGGAGAAGCUCAGUGGGUCUGAGUGCAUAUCUCCAGGCAGAAGAGGAACUGGGAACUGGGGAGCCAGGGUCUGGUGUUCCACGUCGCCAGGCACUCCGAAGGAUCAUCUCCAUUGAGGAAGAUCCCCUGCCUCAGCUCCUGGAAGGAGGCUUUGAGAAGCCACUGAGCAGAUGCCCAGAAGAGGAGGAGGUCUCUGACCAGGGAACAGAAGGACAAAGCGUGGCAGCCCCAGUCUUGGAUCUCAUCCCUACCUCUCCCCGAGGGCAGCCUGUCGGAAAAGAGACACUCUACAAGGAGGAAAGGGCCCCCUCUACCCCUGACCGGCUCUUUAAGAUCGUGUUUGUGGGUGACUCUGCUGUAGGGAAGACAUCCUUCCUGAGAAGACUCUGUGAGGCCCGCUUCUCCCCAGGCAUGGCGGCCACUGUGGGCAUCGACUACCGAGUGAAGACAGUCACUGUGGACAACGCGCAGGUGGCCUUGCAGCUGUGGGAUACUGCUGGGCAGGAGAGAUAUCGCUGUAUCAGUCAGCAGUUCUUCAGAAAGGCCGACGGUGUGGCUGUUAUGUAUGACCUCACAGCCAAGCAGUCCUUCCUGUCGAUCCGCCAGUGGCUCAGCAGCGUGGAGG